rnacentral:rRNA from 1 species
GGACCCGCACAAGCGGUGGAUUAUGUGGAUUAAUUCGAUGCAACGCGAAAAACCUUACCUACCCUUGACAUGUCCGGAAGCCUGCUGAGAGGCGGGUGUGCCCGAAAGGGAACCGGAACACAGGUGCUGCAUGGCUGUCGUCAGCUCGUGUCGUGAGAUGUUGGGUUAAGUCCCGCAACGAGCGCAACCCUUGUCAUUAGUUGCUACAUUCAGUUGGGCACUCUAAUGAGACUGCCGGUGACAAACCGGAGGAAGGUGGGGAUGACGUCAAGUCCUCAUGGCCCUUAUGGGUAGGGCUUCACACGUAAUACAAUGGCGCGUACAGAGGGCUUGCUAAGCCGCGAGGUAGAGCCAAUCCCUUAAAGCGCGUCGUAGUCCGGAUUGCAGUCUGCAACUCGACUGCAUGAAGUCGGAAUCGCUAGUAAUCGCGGAUCAGCAUGUCGCGGUGAAUACGUUCCCGGGUCUU